CCUGACUCCCUUCAGUUGCCCAGAGCCACAGAGAUGGGAUUUCUCCUUAUCAUUACACAAAGAGUAAGUCUUUGCAGAUUUCUUACCCGGGCAGCUUGACAGUUCCUUCUGAAAUCUGAACUUCACCAAAAAUAACUAACAUAGUGUUAUAACAAAUCCAACAAGACCUCUAAAAAUGAUGGUCCGAGCCUCAGCCCGCAUAUGACACCUCCAUCCAUCAGACUCUGACGACCUGAAGGCAGCAAAGGAUUCAAAGAGAAAAAUUUGUGACAGAUUAUUAUAAACUCUAUAAUCCUAGAAGAACUGAUUUUGAUUCUAAUGGAAAUUAAGAUGAUAUGUCUUAGCAUUUGCAAAUA